rnacentral:rRNA from 1 species
CCUACGGGAGGCAGCAGUGGGGAAUUUUGGACAAUGGGCGCAAGCCUGAUCCAGCAAUGCCGCGUGAGUGAAGAAGGCCUUCGGGUUGUAAAGCUCUUUUGUCAGGGAAGAAACGGUGGGGGCUAAUAUCUCCUACUAAUGACGGUACCUGAAGAAUAAGCACCGGCUAACUACGUGCCAGCAGCCGCGGUAAUACGUAGGGUGCAAGCGUUAAUCGGAAUUACUGGGCGUAAAGCGUGCGCAGGCGGUUUUGUAAGUCUGUCGUGAAAGCCCCGGGCUCAACCUGGGAAUUGCGAUGGAGACUGCAAGGCUUGAAUCUGGCAGAGGGGGGUAGAAUUCCACGUGUAGCAGUGAAAUGCGUAGAGAUGUGGAGGAACACCGAUGGCGAAGGCAGCCCCCUGGGUCAAGAUUGACGCUCAUGCACGAAAGCGUGGGGAGCAAACAGGAUUAGAUACCCUGGUAGUCCACGCCCUAAACGAUGUCUACUAGUUGUCGGGUUUUAAUUAACUUGGUAACGCAGCUAACGCGUGAAGUAGACCGCCUGGGGAAUCGGUCGCAAGNUUAAAACUCAAAGGAUUGACGGCNGAGACGNGCGAGGACGACGACGAGGGAGGAGG